AACCCCCUGAAAUCUGUCUCGAAACUUGGCGGAAUCAGCAGAAAUCAGGGGGUAAUAAAGCAGGCGCUUUGCCUGUGAAGGAUUAUAACGCAUGCACCAUAUAACACAAUACCGGACCGCCA
rnacentral:ncRNA from 1 species